CCUACGGGGGGCUGCAGUGGGGAAUAUUGCACAAUGGGGGAAACCCUGAUGCAGCGACGCCGCGUGAGUGAAGAAGUUUUUCUGUAUGUAAAGCUCUAUCAGCAGGGAAGAAGAAAGCCGUUACCUUACUACGACGCCCCGGCCAAAUACGUGCCAGCAGCCCCGGUAAUACGUAGGGGGCAAGCGUUAUCCGGAUUUACUGGGUGUAAAGGGAGCGUAGACGGCUGUGCAAGUCUGAAGUGAAAGCCCAGGGCUCAAACCUGGGACUGCUUUGGAAACUGGGGAGCUAGAGUGCGGGAGAGGUAAGUGGAAUGCGUAGUGUAGCGGUGAAAUGCGUAGAUAUUAGGCGGAACACCAGUGGCGAAGGCGGCUUACUGGACAGUAACUGACGUUGAGGCACGAAAGCGUGGGGAGCAAACAGGAUUAGAUACCCCGGUAGUC
rnacentral:rRNA from 1 species